CCCUACAUCCAGAUCCUCUCCCUCCUUUGAGUCAACUUUAAAAUGCCCACUCGAUAGAAGGGUCAGGCCUGGUUAGUACUUGGAUGGGAGACCACCUAGGAAGACCAGGUGCUGUAGGUG
rnacentral:rRNA from 1 species